rnacentral:rRNA from 1 species
AUUGAACGCUGGCGGCAAGCCUAACACAUGCAAGUCGAACGAGUGGCGGACGGGUGAGUAAUGUCUGGGAACCUGCCUGAUGGAGGGGGAUAACUACUGGAAACGGUGGCUAAUACCGCAUACUAUCGGAGGUGCCCAGAUGGGAUUAGCUAGUUGGUGGGGUAAAGGCUCACCGAGGCGACGAUCCCUAGCUGGUCUGAGAGGAUGACCAGCCACACUGGAAAUGAGACAAGGUCCAGACGCCUACGGGAGGCAGCAGUGGGGAAUAUUGCACAAUGGGGGCAAGCCUGAUGCAGCCAUGCAGCGUGUAUGAAGAAGGCCGUCGGGGUGUAAAGUACUUUAAGCGGGGAGGCGUUACCAGCAGAAGAAGCACCGGCUAACUCCGUGCCAGCAGCCGCGGUAAUUC